rnacentral:rRNA from 1 species
UACGGAGGGUGCGAGCGUUAUUCGGAAUUACUGGGCGUAAAGCGCGUGUAGGCGGGGGGACAAGUCUGAUGUGAAAGCCCUGGGCUUAACCUGGGAAGUGCAUUGGAAACUGUUUUUCUUGAGUACUGGAGAGGAAGGGGGAAUUCCCGGUGUAGAGGUGAAAUUCGUAGAGAUCGGGAGGAAUACCAGUGGCGUAGGCGCCCUUCUGGACGGUAACUGACGCUGAGACGCGAAAGCGUGGGGAGCAAAC